GGACACUUCAGAAGAGACUGUCACAUGGGAGUCAGCUUUAUCACUUUAUCACUGAGGAGAAUCAGAGAUUGCUUGAGACCUGAUCCUGCCAUUUGCUAUAUAAACUUUGGGAGAAACAAGCUAUUGAGAGGAC